AGUAUUUGGUCGUAGACCCGAAACCAGGUGAUCUACCCUUGGUCAGGUUGAAGUUCAGGUAACACUGAAUGGAGGACCGAACCGACUUACGUUGAAAAGUGAGCGGAUGAACUGAGGGUAGCGGAGAAAUUCCAAUCGAACUUGGAGAUAGCUGGUUCUCUCCGAAAUAGCUUUAGGGCUAGCCUCAAGUGAUGAUUAUUGGAGGUAGAGCACUGUUUGGACGAGGGGCCCCUCUCGGGUUACCGAAUUCAGACAAACUCCGAAUGCCAAUUAAUUUAACUUGGGAGUCAGAACAUGGGUGAUAAGGUCCGUGUUCGAAAGGGAAACAGCCCAGACCACCAGCUAAGGUCCCAAAAUAUAUGUUAAGUGGAAAAGGAUGUGGCGUUGCCCAGACAACUAGGAUGUUGGCUUAGAAGCAGCCAUCAUUUAAAGAGUGCGUAAUAGCUCACUAGUCGAGUGACACUGCGCCGAAAAUGUACCGGGGCUAAACAUAUUACCGAAGCUGUGGAUUGUCCUUUGGACAAUGGUAGGAGAGCGUUCUAAGGGCGUCGAAGCAUGAUCGCAAGGACAUGUGGAGCGCUUAGAAGUGAGAAUGCCGGUGUGAGUAGCGAAAGACGGGUGAGAAUCCCGUCCACCGAUUGACUAAGGUUUCCAGAGGAAGGCUCGUCCGCUCUGGGUUAGUCGGGUCCUAAGCUGAGGCCGACAGGCGUAGGCGAUGGAUAACAGGUUGAUAUUCCUGUACCACCUAGUAUCGUUUUAAUCGAUGGGGGGACGCAGUAGGAUAGGCGAAGCGUGCU
rnacentral:rRNA from 1 species